AAGACCUUGCGCUUUUGGAGCGGCCGAUGUCUGAUUAGCUUGUUGGUAAGGUAAAAGCUUACCAAGGCUUCGAUCAGUAGCUGGUCUGAGAGGACGACCAGCCACACUGGGACUGAGACACGGCCCAGACUCCUACGGGAGGCAGCAGUGGGGAAUUUUGGACAAUGGGGGCAACCCUGAUCCAGCCAUGCCGCGUGAGUGAAGAAGGCCUUCGGGUUGUAAAGCUCUUUCAGCCGGAACGAAACGGUUACGGCUAAUACCCGUGACUACUGACGGUACCGGAAGAAGAAGCACCGGCUAACUACGUGCCAGCAGCCGCGGUAAUACGUAGGGUGCAAGCGUUAAUCGGAAUUACUGGGCGUAAAGCGUGCGCAGGUGGUUUUGUAAGUCAGAUGUGAAAUCCCCGGGCUUAACCUGGGAACU
rnacentral:rRNA from 1 species